GCCUUCGUGGCGUAAUUGGAAGCAUACUCGACGCGAAUUCGAGGGGUCCAAGGUUCGAGUCCUUGCGAGGGCA